AACGAACGCUGGCGGCAGGCCUAACACAUGCAAGUCGAGCGAAGCCUUCGGGCUUAGCAGCGGACGGGUGAGUAACGCGUGGGAACGUGCCCUUUGGUACGGAAUAGCCCCGGGAAACUGGGAGUAAUACCGUAUGUGGUCGAGAGACGAAAGAUUUAUCGCCAAAGGAUCGGCCCGCGUUGGAUUAGGUAGUUGGUGGGGUAAUGGCCUACCAAGCCGACGAUCCAUAGCUGGUUUGAGAGGAUGAUCAGCCACACUGGGACUGAGACCCGGCCCGGAUCCCAACGGGGGGAAGCAGUGGGGAAUCUUGGCAAUGGGGGAAAACCCUGUCCUGGCCAGGCGGGUGGAUGGAUGAGGCCUUAGGGUUGUAAAGAUCUUUCAGUGGGGAAGAUAAUGACUGUACCCACAGAAGAAGCCCCGGCUAACUCCGUGCCAGCCGCCGCUGUAAAAC
rnacentral:rRNA from 1 species